GAAGAUCAUCUUCCAAAUUUCCAGAUUUUCAAAACAUCACCAAAACUCAAAAUCAAGCACAACAUCAUGCAUUAUUUUUCACGUACAUCAUAAAUCCAUGAAUCAAUUACACAAAAACAUCAUCAAAUGCAUGGAUCGAAUGAAAUAAAGUUUAUCAUCAAAACUUCAAAUGACCAUAUCUCACUCGUUUCAACACCAAAUCACUCCAUUCAAAGCUCA
rnacentral:lncRNA from 1 species